rnacentral:rRNA from 2 species
UGGCUCAGAACGAACGCUGGCGGCAGGCUUAACACAUGCAAGUCGAGCGGAUGUAGCAAUACAUCAGCGGCAGACGGGUGAGUAACACGUGGGAACGUGCCCUUUGGUUCGGAACAACACAGGGAAACUUGUGCUAAUACCGGAUAAGCCCUUACGGGGAAAGAUUUAUCGCCGAAGGAUCGGCCCGCGUCUGAUUAGCUAGUUGGUGGGGUAAUGGCCCACCAAGGCGACGAUCAGUAGCUGGUCUGAGAGGAUGAUCAGCCACACUGGGACUGAGACACGGCCCAGACUCCUACGGGAGGCAGCAGUGGG